CAAGUCGAGCGGCAGCGCGGGGGCACCCUGGCGGCGAGCGGCGGACGGGUGAGGAAUUCCUCGGAAUCUGCCUUUUUGUGGGGGAUAACGUAGGGAAACUUACGCUAAUACCGCAUACGACCUACGGGUGAAAGUGGGGGACCGCAAGGCCUCACGCAGAAAGAUGAGCCGACGACCGAUUAGCUAGUUGGUAGGGUAAAGGCCUACCAAGGCGACUAUCGGUAGCUGGUCUGAAAGGAUGAUCAGCCACCCUGGGACUGAGACACGGGCCAAACUCCUACGGGAGGCAGCAGUGGGGAAUAUUGGACAAUGGGCGCAAGCCUGAUCCAUCCAUGCCGCGUGUGUGAAUAACGCCUUCGGAUUGUAAAGCACUUUUGUCCGGAAAGAAAUCCUUCAACUUAAUACGUUGGGGGGAUGACGGUACCGGAAGAAUAAGCACCGGCUAACUUCGUGCCAGCAGCCGCGGUAAUACGAAGGGUGCAAGCGUUACUCGGAAUUACUGGGCGUAAAGCGUGCGUAGGCGGUUCGUUAAGUCUGACGUGAAAUCCCCGGGCUCAACCUGGGACGUGCGUUGGAAACUGGCGAUCUAUAGUACGGUAGAGGGUGGUGGAAUUCCCGGUGUAGCAGUGAAAUGCUUACAGAUCGGGAGGAACACUCGUGGCGAAGGCGGCCACCUGGACCAGUACUGACGCUGACGCACGAAAGCGUGGGGAGCAAACAGGAUUAUAUACCCUGGUAGUCCACGCCCUAAACGAUGCGAACUGGAUGUUGGGCUCACUUCGGAGCUCAGUAUCUAAGCUAACGCGUUAAGUUCGCCGCCUGGCGAGUACGGUCGCAGACUGAUACUCACAGGAAUUGACAG
rnacentral:rRNA from 1 species